rnacentral:rRNA from 1 species
UCGUGCGCGAAGGUGGCUUCGGCCACCGGAGAGCGGCGAACGGGUGAGUAACACGUGGGUGAUCUGCCCGGGAGCGGGGGAUAACCUGGGGAAACUCGGGCUAAUACCGCAUACGUUGACGUGGUUGCGGCCACGUUAAGAAAGCUGGCCUCUGCUUGCAAGCUAGCGCUCCCAGAGGAGCCCGCGGCUGAUUAGCUAGUUGGUGGGGUAAUGGCCCACCAAGGCGACGAUCAGUAGCCGGCCUGAGAGGGUGAUCGGCCACACUGGGACUGAGACACGGCCCAGACUCCUACGGGAGGCAGCAGUGGGGAAUAUUGGACAAUGGGCGCAAGCCUGAUCCAGCAACGCCGCGUGGAGGACGAAGGUCUUCGGAUCGUAAACUCCUGUCAGACGGGACUAAGGCUUCCAGGCAAAUAGUCUGGAAGCUUGACGGUACUGUCAGGGGAAGCCCCGGCUAACUCCGUGCCAGCAGCCGCGGUAAUACGGAGGGGGCUAGCGUUA